rnacentral:rRNA from 1 species
UUGAAGGUUGGGUAACACUAACUGGAGGACCGAACCGACUAAUGUUGAAAAAUUAGCGGAUGACUUGUGGCUGGGGGUGAAAGGCCAAUCAAACCGGGAGAUAGCUGGUUCUCCCCGAAAGCUAUUUAGGUAGCGCCUCGUGAAUUCAUCUCCGGGGGUAGAGCACUGUUUCGGCAAGGGGGUCAUCCCGACUUACCAACCCGAUGCAAACUGCGAAUACCGGAGAAUGUUAUCACGGGAGACACACGGCGGGUGCUAACGUCCGUCGUGAAGAGGGAAACAACCCAGACCGCCAGCUAAGGUCCCAAAGUCAUGGUUAAGUGGGAAACGAUGUGGGAAGGCCCAGACAGCCAGGAUGUUGGCUUAGAAGCAGCCAUCAUUUAAAGAAAGCGUAAUAGCUCACUGGUCGAGUCGGCCUGCGC